UGCAUUUUGAUGUAGAAAACAGGGCAGUUGGUUUUCACUCGAAAUCAGAAGGUCUCUAGUUUUUCUUAUAUUUCAGAGUGUACCGGUAGAGUUAGGAUCUCUACUUGGUAUGGUUGGAAAGUUUAUUCCAUUUACUACAACUUUUAUGAAGAAAUCAUGAACCAAAAAUGACUGAACAUUAGUUAAAUUGUAGGGACAAGUUAAAGAGGUCGUGUGCGCGUGAUUCAAGAAGUGGUUCUGUUUUGAGGGUUAUCUGAGUUUAUGCACGGGGAAUCAGAUUUACAUAUCAUUAGGCCGAGAAGAAUUAAAUCGAGCUUAUAGACCAAGGAUCUAGCCCAAGACGGUAGAGAUCGAGUUUCCGGUGCCUGAUAGACUGCCUUAGUCUGCUGAAGCUCCGUUAUCGAUUGCCAGUACGUGUUUUGAUUUGGGCGUGGAGUCUGUUGUGUUAUGAUGUAUAUACACCCUUGUAUGUUAUAGAUACUCCAUAGUUUGUAUAAGCUUUAGGAGCUGUAGUUGUGUAAAUUUUGUUGGUUAUAUUUUGAUUAAGGUGUCUUUAGGUUUACUCGUGAAAUUGGUAAAUUUUGAGGUACACUUCAUGUAUGUGUUUGACUAGCCUAGGAUCCGCUGUGUUUUGUUGCAUGUAUAAUAGUUUAUAUACUAGAUUGGCAAGUUCAUCACAUGAAAGUUUUAAGCAGAGUCGACAGAUACAGAUACAGAAAAUCGUUGUUUGUCGGCUUCACGCCAUCUUUCGGUCUAAGGUAACAGGUAGUCCGGGAGGGGGUGUGACAAUAAUGCAUAUAAUUUUACAUACAAUGGCCAAGGAA